AAGCAGCAAACCAAGAAGCCGAGUUCAGAGUGUGAGGACUGACUGGUAUCUGCUUCAUUAAAGCCAGACAAAUGGCAAUGCUGCGUGGAUGAUGGAGCACUAAGGAAAGGAGAGCAGGCUGUGAGAAUAUGGUCGAGAAGAUGGCAGAGUUUGCUUGAGGUGCUUGCUUUUCAAACGAUGAGCUCUCAGCAUUGAUCCAGACACGCCCAGCUCCUCACCAUCAAUCAUAACACCAGCUCUGCCAUCGUGCCGCCCAAGGUCCGGCCGUCCUCCUUUCCUCUUUUAGCCACCCAGCAGCUGGCGGACACAGCCAAUCGCACCUCUGAGAGAGAACAGGAAUGAAAGAGAUGAGUGAACUGUUUUUGACACAAAGAGGUCACUUCAUAAAUCACAGGUAGAUAGAGCAAUCCCAUCUGAG